UCCACGAGGGUUAACAUUGGAGCGAAUAGGAAAGGAAGAAAACCCAGAUAUGAAGCGAAAAUCAAGGACUAAACAUAUGGCAGGAGUCACCUAAAAAAAGGCAGGAGUUAAACUAUUAAGACCCAAAAGAUGGUGAACUAUGCUUGUGGUGUUUGAAGCCGAAGGAAACUUUGGUGGAAGGACUUAGGAGUGUUAACGUGCAGAUUACUUGCAAUAUAUGAGUAUAGGGGCGACAGACUAAUCGAACUAUCUAGUAGCUGGUUCCACCUGAAUAUUCCCUUAGGAAGGUUGAAGUGAGAAAGUAGUGACGAUUGGUAAAAAUGAUGAUUGGACAUGUUGAACAGUUUGACUUUUCAAUAUUUUAACAAACUAUGAAUAGUCGAGAUAUCUUAAACGAUAAUAAUUUAUUAGGAGUGAGCAUAUGCGGACUUCAAAUCGGCCAAGUCUGGUAAGCAGGACUGGCGAUGCGGGAUGAACCGAACAUACAGAUAAAGUAUCCAAGUCUUAUAUGAGGAGAACCAUAAAAGGGUUCAUUCAUAUUGACAAUAGAACGAUGGCCAUGGAAGUUGGAAAUCGCCAAUGAGUGAGUAACAACUCACCUAUCGAAUGGAUGAGCUUUCAAAAUGGAAGGUAUUAUAACGAGAGAGGUGAUACUGUAUCAUUGUGGAGGCUGAGGCACACGAGGAGUAAGGAAAUGCAUGGUGUCAAGAAUACGUGAGUGAUAAAGGUAGAGAAGUAAUUUCUAUUGAAACAGACUUGAGUACAGAUCUUGGUGGAAGUAGCAAAUACUUAAAAAAAAACAUUCAAGGAUUAAAGAGGAGAAAGGUUCCUAGACAACAUUAAUUGGAAUAUGGUGAAUGAAUUCUCAAAGACAGGUUGGUAAAUGCAAGAAUGAACUUAUACAAAACACCACAAGGCUGGCAAAACAACUUUCCCAAAGACUUUGUUU
rnacentral:ncRNA from 1 species